UUAAAAUGUCCUCCCUACCUUAAUUUAUUCAAACUUGCAGUGAACAUAAGCAAAACAAGAGGACUAGGAGCUCAAGGUGUCUGCAAUUUGGAACAAAUCCCAUUAGAAAAGCCUGAUAUUUUCUACCGCUUCUCAAAAGAUUUUGAAGCCUUGAGGAGUGAAAGCAAAUGAAGAAUUCGGUUUCGGACCAGAGUUUUUACGUAGAGAGUGAAGGAGAUGAUGAAGAGAAGGAAGACAACAAAGGUGAGGAUGAUGCAGAUGGAAAUGAUUCUGAUUCUUCCAAUUACUCGAAUGAUGACGAUAACUACAAUCAACGAGAGCAAAGCAAAGUCAACAGCCAGUGGCCUCAAAGUUACAGGCAAUCAAUUGAUCUAUACAGUAGUGUCCCAUCUCCUAGUCUUAACUUUCUUGGGACACCCUCGUUGUCCCGCUUAAGCAGCUCAUUUCUUUCCUCAUCGCUUACAAGGAGACACACUCCUGAGAUAUUACCUACUCUGAGCAAACCGCUCAUAUCUGCCAUAGACGAUGAUAAAGAGCAAGAUAGACAUACUUCCCAUCUUCCAAUUCCGCCUACCUCAACAAGGAAGCCUAGCAUAAAGAAAACAAGUAUUUAUGAGAAAACUUCAAAGGUCUCACACGAACUUCCAAUUUCUCGCCAGAGCUCAUACAGACAAGCAGUGAUAAACGGGAUGAAUGUUCUAUGUGGAGUUGGAAUCCUUUCUACUCCUUAUGCUGUCAAAGAAGGAGGCUGGGCUGGGCUUUCUAUAUUGUUGAUUUUUUCAGUGCUCUCUUUCUACACUGGGAUUCUCCUACGUUACUGCUUGGACAGCGAACCCGGCCUUGAAACAUACCCGGACAUUGGCCAGGCUGCCUUUGGUACUGUGGGACGUGUUGCAAUAUCUAUAAUUUUAUACGUCGAGUUAUAUGCUUGCUGCGUUGAGUAUAUUAUUCUGGAGAGUGAUAAUUUGUCCUCGUUGUUCCCAAAUGCACAUUUAAACUUUGGAGUGUUCGAUUUAAACUCUCGCCAUCUUUUUGCAUUGAUGGCCACCCUUGCUGUUCUUCCUACCGUUAUGUUACGAGACCUGAGUGUUCUUAGCUACAUAUCUGCUGGAGGAGUUGUCGCUUCCCUUUUGGUGGUUGCAUGCUUGUUCUGGGUUGGCUUAGUCGAUCAAGUUGGCUUCCAGGCGAAAGGGACGAUAUUGAACCUCUCUACUCUUCCAGUUGCUAUUGGUCUCUAUGGUUAUUGCUACUCGGGCCAUGCUGUCUUUCCCAAUAUCUACACAUCAAUGGAGAAACGGAGCCUGUACCCUGCAGUCCUCCUAGCAAGUUUUGGGAUUUGCACUCUGUUGUAUGCUGCAGUUGCUGGUAUGGGAUAUACUAUGUUUGGAGAAACAGUGCAAUCACAGUUCACUCUCAACAUGCCUAAAGAUUUAGUUGCAUCUAAAAUUGCUCUUUGGACAACGGAUCUUCAUUAUGUUAAGUUGAUAUAUGAUCCGGGUUGUUGCAUGAAAUUGAGCUUUGAUUGCUGAUCUCCAAGUCAAAUGUUAAGCAAAUGGUUGUAACUUGUUUUUAUGCCUACUCUUUGCAGGUGGUGAAUCCAUUUACCAAAUAUCCUUUUCUGAUACUAUUUGCUGAUAUUAUGAAAGAGGACAGCAAUAAUUUUCCUUCUUGUGGCACUUCCUUAACAAAAGAUAAAUAGCAGGACAGCAGCCUUAGGUUCAAAGACUUGUGUAUUGGAGAAACUUAUAAAAAAAAUAUAAGUACCUAGCAAUAUAAGGUAGUUAAAUCGUAGCACGGUUAGAUCAUAUCAGGUGAAAAAGCAGACUUGAUUACACUGAAGUACAUCGAACUAGGAGCCAUUCAUUGAUUUCACUUGCACAUAAUUUAUUUUCUUAAUGGUUUCAAAGGAUAAAAAGUUAUCUUUCUUAACUAGAAAUACAUAUGCAUUAACGAUAUCCCCUGUGGCAAUGAGUUUGGAGGAAUUGAUACCGUCGAAUCAUGCCAAAUCCCGUUUGUAUGCAAUCCUCAUCAGAACAGCUUUGGUGAUAUCUACGUUGAUUGUGGGUCUUGUCAUCCCCUUCUUUGGUCUGCUGAUGGCAUUAAUCGGAUCAUUACUAACAAUGCUAGUU